rnacentral:misc_RNA from 1 species
UCUUGACCGAUAUUACAACACAUAUCAACCGCCAUCUUGGAAGAUCUCACGGGAAUUACCGCUGAANCGAUCGCUGGCGUCAUAACAUCCAAGCUUCACGGGAAAGUAUCAAAGUAACAUUCUGGACAGUAUUUUGUUUACUCAAUAUAAUUAGCCUUUUAUUGGCUUCAAGUAAAGCUAAUAAUAAACUAUGUUGUAAAGAAUGUAACAUUCGUGCCAAAAUGCGGUACAUGUUUCGACAUGACAGUCGAACUUCGGUGNUGGCAGUGGCUGACGCCUGUUAACCUUGUACAUGUUUGUCUUUCAGACCGGAAGCGAUUAUAUUGAGGGAUUAAAUUGAAAUCCGGGCUGGUAGGACACAACUGCGUUUAUGAAUAUAUAAAAGGCAGCUUUACAAAUCAUCAUUUUUAUGACGACAUGAGAAAUCCAACUCACGUGACCGCAACAAGCCGGAGUACCUCAAACAUAUGUAUGACGUCAUGAUCUAGAUCUAGCUAGCCAAUAAUGCGCAUGCGUAACGAAACUGGCACUUAGAUACUUGAAGCUCUCAGCCUUCAAGACUCGAGCAAGACAAGCGCAUCAGCUUUGUACUCGAUUAAAAACUAAUAGCUCAAGCAUAAUGUCAAAAAAAAAUUGUCACUGGGCAACAUCAGAUAAGUUUAUUAUGAAUGGCCCCUUCAAACAGAGCAGAUGAGGAGCUAGAGCAACCUAGUUGGAUCAUCAGAUAAUGUGUUUGCUCAUUCGACACACGCUAUCUUCACAAGAGUCAAGUAUGAGAGUUCUUUUGGCUAUUUUGGUAGUCUUGGUUGUUUUUCUUGGCGUAACCACUGCAUCCGAUGAAAAAGAUGNGGCCAUGUGCAGUGGUGCAACUUGCCUUAUCCAAUAUACACNAGGGUUUACCUCUGUUGAGAAUAUCAUUGACAGGCGUAGUGAUGAUGAUGAUUCCAGUAUUCAAACUGAUAUAGAACUGCAUUGCUCCCUUGAUAUGCAACUUGCCAAGUGUACAAGUGAGGCCCUUGAAAAGUGUGGUCGUAACGAAAUACUUGUUGCCAUUGGAAGAGCGUUGCUGUCAUACAUGGUUUAUGACUAUCGACUGGGUGUCUGUCCGAACCACAAGGAAAACGAAUUCUUAGAACUUCUUGGUCCAUUUGUAACAGAUAAUGGCAGUCUUUUUGAAAUGAAACUCAAGUACCUUUAUAAUGCACCAUACGCUGAUUGCGCAGCCAAGAUGGAUUAUGCUUGUCUUGAGAAAUUCGUUCACAUGAUGAAACUCAAUCCAAACCUGUGUUUGAGUAUCCCGUUCAAGUAUAAUUGCCUAAGAAAUGAAAAAUGUCAUCCUUCCAUCACAAAAGCUUUGCUUGACAUAUUCCCACAAGAAGCGAACAACGUUUUGUCAGUUUUGUGCAAAUAGUCACUUAUAAACAAAUAGAUGUACAUGUACAGUCACUUAUAAAUAUAUAAGACAAACCUUGUAAAACAUACUGUCAGACACACCUCUAGAUGUAAAAGUUGCUUCAUGUCGUCAAGUUUGAGUCACCUUGUUGGAUUACAAUAGGAAUGAAAAAUANGAUGCUCAGCUGUUUAACCACCAUCUACGUUCAUCACGUGACCAUAAUGCCCAAACUUUAGUAUUUGUUUGUCAUUUCCGUCCUCACNCAUUAUAGAAAUUUUGUCUUUUCGACUUGUACUAGAUCAUUUUACACAUUUGAUGUAAAACUCUGUUCUCACUAGUGUGGGGAACAUGAAUACAUGCUUGCAAUUAUCCUAAAUGUAAAUGUGACGUCAUUAACGAAGAUUAAAGAUCUGUCAUGAUACAACAACUGUGUGUAUAUAGUAUUGUAUAGAUUAUUGACAUUUAUUUCCAUGUAAUACUAACAAANGACAAGGCAGCUGCUUGGUUCCCAUUGCUAAAUGAACUGGUAUAACGCGGCAAUAACGCGGCAAUUGUUUAUGAGUAGGGCUUAGUGCAGUACGUUCAAGACAGCAAUACAAGCCAACAUGCAGGCUUCUUGUACUCUUCUACUUUGUGUCGUGGUGUUCAUGACUUGUUUUCAAGUUUCUUUUGGUACUAACUGUGAAGCUAAAGCCAUUAAUGAGUGUGUAGUUCAAGGCUACAUUAAAGGAUUUAGCGCNGUCAAUACAACCUUAGACGAUAUUGGGCUGCACUGCACGCUUGACAGGAAACUCCUACAGUGUACCGAGAGAGCGCUGAAUGCAUGUGGUAAGACACCGACACUCCUUGCACUAGGNCGUGCAGUGCUGUCAUAUAUUGUCUUUGACAGAAACCUUGGAGUAUGUCGUAAAAGGGGCUACUGGACUAUGUACCAACUACUGAAAACUGAUGCUCCUUUCGAGGACAAGACAAAUUGGAACUAUAAGAUCCUUACUCUAUUACAUUACUCCCAAUAUUCCGACUGUGCAAAGAAAAUCAAUGAGAAUUGUCUGAAGGCGUUUGUUCACAAGAUGAAGGUCUUACCAGAUCUGUGCACCAAUAUACCUUUCAAGUACAAUUGUAUCAAACCAACCACAGAUUGUCCAGCCAAGAUAUUACACGACAUACUCAACGUGUUCCCUGACGAAGCCAAUAAAGUCUUGGCAGGUCUUUGCCAGCCUCAAGAUAGUGGCUAAAUAGACAAAUNACAGUUGUAUAACUAGCAUUGCGUGACAAUGUACAUGUAACAGAAAAAUAAUAACGCAUUAUCUGACGACUUC